rnacentral:rRNA from 1 species
CUACGGGUUGCAGCAGUGGGGAAUCUUAGACAAUGGGGGAAACCCUGAUCUAGCCAUGCCGCGUGAGCGACGACGGCCCUAGGGUUGUAAAGCUCUUUCAGCAGGGAAGAUAAUGACGGUACCUGCAGAAGAAGUCCCGGCUAACUCCGUGCCAGCAGCCGCGGUAAUACGGAGGGGACUAGCGUUGUUCGGAUUUACUGGGCGUAAAGCGCGCGUAGGCGGCUUGUUAAGUCGGGGGUGAAAUCCCGGGGCUCAACCCCGGAACUGCCCUCGAUACUGGCAGUCUUGAGUUCGGGAGAGGUGAGUGGAAUUCCGAGUGUAGAGGUGAAAUUCGUAGAUAUUCGGAGGAACACCAGUGGCGAAGGCGGCUCACUGGCUCGAUACUGACGCUGAGGUGCGAAAGCGUGGGGAGCAAACAGGAUUAGAUACCCUUGUAGUC